rnacentral:lncRNA from 1 species
GGGCAUCCGGCCCCAGCCACUUAUUCCAGAUAUAAGUACACGUGAGCCCCUCUCCCACUGCUGGCUGCCAAGGCUGGGCUGUGGGGUGGCCCCUUCUGUCUCUGCAGAUUCCUCUCCUCUCUGCCUCUGCCUGGUGAAACACUCCUCCAUAACCAUCAUGUACAGUCCCUGACGACUGCACAAAGGCUAGGGAAAUAAGGGGACCCCUGGGGAAGG